rnacentral:tRNA from 1 species
GCGCCCGUAGCUCAGCGGAUUAGAGUACUUGGCUACGAACCAAGGGGUCGGGAGUUCAAUUCUCUCCGGGCGCGCCA